UUCACAACACACCUGGUUCUCAGGGGCUGGGAGCAUAGCAGUGAGCAAAAAAUGUGCCUGCUCUUUUGGAACUCACUCGGAACAUGUGUCACAGACAGCAGACAGAUGGCAGGACCCUGAGGGAAACACCAGCACACAAGUCCUAUUUGUGUUCCUGAACAGCUUUACCGGGGAGGAGGGAAUUUAAACUUAGAAGCUUUGUUCCAAACUAGAAGCAAUUAAGACGUGAUACACCACUCAUUCCUCAUGACUCAGCUCUCAACUAAUCUUCACCAUCAAAGAGAGGUUUCUGACUACAUGCUCACAAGUAGCCACAGGCUCCAUCAAAUUAUACCGUUUUUUCUUCCUUUAGGUCACUUACCACUCUGGAAUUAUUUUGCAUAUUUAUGCAUUUGAUUGUAAUCCAUUUUCCACAGGAAUCUGAGCCUUAUGAUGUCAGGGAUUUUAUCUAGGACAUUAAGAUUUCAGGACCUAAAAUGCCAGACAUUUUAGGACACUUGCCUGGCAAAAGUGGACUCGCUAAAAAUUCUACCUGAAAUUUGUAAUUAAUAUGCAGACUAUUCCUCCUGACCAAAGCCAAUUAUGGUCUCCCAGUAUUAGAAGUCAAUUACAGAAAGUAAUUCACCUUCUCUCAGUCCAAUGCUGAGCCUUCAUCAGAAAGUUGAGAAGAAUGGAGCCAAUGAGAAUGUGAAGUAAAGGAAAGACUGGGACAGUCAGACCAGUGAAGGGACCAUGGGGCACAUCAGGAGCCUGAUACAAACCCCUCCUUCCAGAUCCGAUAGUUUAUAUCACAUGGACCUCCUUUUCCCCUAUAUCACCCACCCAUUGUUAUUAUAAAUAGUGGAUGAAUUUGGGACAUUAGAUGGGUCAAAGAGAUGCUGGCUGUGUUCCUUGAAGAUUUCAUAGCUCCAAGGAUUCAGGCCAACCUUUAGAAUGUACACAGACCAACUCCUUUUGUAUUUUGUAAUUUUGAAUGCAUGAAAUUGAUAUCCCCCCAAAUAACAUUUUCUCAUAUAUAUUAUAUACCUAUGUGAGUAUAUAGUUGUGGUUUUUUUCCCACUUUGUUAUCAGUGAAAUUAAAAGAAUGUUAAAGGAACUGUAAUUUAAAAAAAAAAAAAAAAGCCAAAGAAUAAUC
rnacentral:lncRNA from 1 species